AUACGGAGGGAGCUAGCGUUGUUCGGAAUUACUGGGCGUAAAGCGCACGUAGGCGGACUUGUUAGUCAGGGGUGAAAUCCCGGGGCCCAACCUCGGAACUGCCUUUGAUACUGCAAGCCUGGAGUCCGGAAGAGGUGGGUGGAAUUCCUAGUGUAGAGGUGAAAUUCGUAGAUAUUAGGAAGAACACCGGUGGCGAAGGCGGCCCACUGGUCCGGUACUGACGCUGAGGUGCGAAAGCGUGGGGAGCAAACAGGAUUAGAAACCCCUGUAGUCC
rnacentral:rRNA from 1 species